CCUACGGGAGGCAGCAGUGGGGAAUUUUGGACAAUGGGCGCAAGCCUGAUCCAGCCAUGCCGCGUGAGUGAAGAAGGCCUUCGGGUUGUAAAGCUCUUUCGGCAGGAACGAAAUGGUUAGUGCUAAUACCACUGACUGAUGACGGUACCUGAAGAAGAAGCACCGGCUAACUACGUGCCAGCAGCCGCGGUAAUACGUAGGGUGCAGGCGUUAAUCGGAAUUACUGGGCGUAAAGCGUGCGCAGGCGGUUUCUUAAGUCAGAUGUGAAAGCCCCGGGCUUAACCUGGGAACUGCGUUUGAAACUGGGAGACUCGAGUGUGGCAGAGGGGGGUGGAAUUCCACGUGUAGCAGUGAAAUGCGUAGAUAUGUGGAGGAACACCGAUGGCGAAGGCAACCCCCUGGGUUAACACUGACGCUCAUGCACGAAAGCGUGGGGAGCAAACAGGAUUAGAUACCCUGGUAGUCCACGCCCUAAACUAUGUCAACUGGUUGUCGGGGGAUUAAUUCCCUUGGUAACGAAGCUAACGCGUGAAGUUGACCGCCGUCGGGAGGUACGGUCGCGAGAAGUUAAAACGUUAAAAGUAAGUUAGUUAGUACGUUGUUAGAGNGCGACGACGACGACGAGGAGGAGGAG
rnacentral:rRNA from 1 species